GCUCAGAGCUCUCUGCCUCCAGCUCUGUCAGGGUCACAAUGCUCUCCCAGUCCUUGCUCCUCUGGCUGCUACUGCUCUGGCCUCAAGAAUCCCAGGCAGCCAUUGAGUGACCCAGUCCCCAGCCUCCCUGUCUGUGGCUGCAGGAGACCAAGUCACCAUCAGCUGCAAGCCAGUUCCAGCGUUAGCAAGAGGAUGGCCUGGUACCAGCAGAAACCAGGACAGUCUCCCAGGCUCCUGAUCUAUUAUGCUUCCACCCUGUACUCUGGGGUCCCUGACCGGUUCAGUGGCAGUGGCUCUGGGACAGAUUUCACCCUCACCAUCAGUGCAGUGGAGGCUGAGGAUGUGGCAGAUUAUUACUGUUUUCAGGCUUAUAAUGCUCCAUUCCCACAGUGUUUCAGCCCUGAACAAAAACCUCCAGGCUGCUCAGCCCUUCAGCAGAGGGAGCAGCUGCUUCCCCAGAGUCACAGGCUUGAGAAAACCAUCCCCUCAGGGAGAACUGGGCCCAAUUCAGUCCUGCUGCAGGAGCCAUUGUGA